UACGAAGGGGGCUAGCGUUACUCGGAAUUACUGGGCGUAAAGGGCGCGUAGGCGGCGCUCCAAGUUAGGCGUGAAAGUCCUGGGCUCAACCUGGGAACUGCGCUUAAGACUGGAGUGCUUGAGGAUGGAAGAGGGUUGUGGAAUUCCCAGUGUAGAGGUGAAAUUCGUAGAUAUUGGGAAGAACACCGGUGGCGAAGGCGGCAACCUGGUCCAUUACUGACGCUGAGGCGCGAUAGCGUGGGGAGCAAACAGG
rnacentral:misc_RNA from 1 species